CGCCAGACUCCUACGGGAGGCAGCAGUGGGGAAUAUUGCACAAUGGGGGAAACCCUGAUGCAGCGACGCCGCGUGAGUGAAGAAGUAUUUCGGUACGUAAAGCUCUAUCAGCAGGGAAGAAAAUGACGGUACCUGACUAAGAAGCCCCGGCUAACUACGUGCCAGCAGCCGCGGUAAUACGUAGGGGGCAAGCGUUAUCCGGAUUUACUGGGUGUAAAGGGAGCGUAGACGGCAGCACAAGUCUGGAGUGAAAUCCCGGGGCUUAACCCCGGAACUGCUUUGGAAACUGUGCGGCUGGAGUGCAGGAGGGGUAAGCGGAAUUCCUAGUGUAGCGGUGAAAUGCAUAGAUAUCGCGCAGAACUCAGAUUGCGAAGGCAGCAUGCCGGCUCCACACUGACGCUGGGGCACGAAAGCGUGGGUAUCGAACAGGAUUAGAUACCCGGGUAUUC
rnacentral:rRNA from 1 species